GCUGGACAUGGUGAGGCAUACCUGUAAUCCCAGAUACUUAGGAGGCUGAGACAGGAGGAUCACAAGUUCAAGGCUAGCCUAGGCAAUUUAGUGAGAUCCUGUCUCAA
rnacentral:sRNA from 1 species